rnacentral:rRNA from 1 species
ACGGAGGCAGCAGUGAGGAAUAUUGGUCAAUGGACGAGAGUCUGAACCAGCCAAGUAGCGUGCAGGAUGACGGCCCUCCGGGUUGUAAACUGCUUUUAGUUGGGAAUAAAAAAGGCGACGUGUCGCCUAUUGUAUGUACCAUCAGAAGAAGGACCGGCUAAUUCCGUGCCAGCAGCCGCGGUAAUACGGAAGGUCCGGGCGUUAUCCGGAUUUAUUGGGUUUAAAGGGAGCGUAGGCGGGCCUUUAAGUCAGUGGUAAAAGCGUGUGGCUCAACCAUACCACGCCAUUGAAACUGGAGGCCUUGAGUGCACACAGGGAUGCUGGAAUUCGUCGUGUAGCGGUGAAAUGCUUAGAUAUGACGAAGAACUCCGAUCGCGAAGGCAGGUGUCCGGGGUGUAACUGACGCUGAGGCUCGAAAGUGCGGGUAUCAAACAGGAUUAGAUACCCUGGUA